GGAAUAGUUUUCAUUGGAAAGUUAGAACGAUUGCUAAUUGUUUGGGUUAUCCCUUAGGUGUUCGAAUCACCUCUAUUCCG
rnacentral:tRNA from 1 species